CGGAGUGCCCAGGCCGGAGAGCAGGGACCGCACGAGCCCCUGGGUUUGGCCGAUCCCUCCAAGUCUCCAGAGCUAGCCCGGAGCUUCCCGGAGGCUCCCCGAAUGCUGCGUCCGGGCUAAGCAGGCUGUUUGGGAUAGGGCUCCCCCCUGCCUCAGGCCGUUGAACUCUGCAACGCCUGGUCGCCUAACCGCUGGACUCGGCUUGGAAGGGACAGGCUAGGAUUCCAAGGCGACGGAGUCUCCCCUCCUAAGGACAGCAGGUGUUCCCAGGAAAUAAGACCUACUUCGCAGCAACAACUACAAACCACUGAUGGAAAACACGGGAUGGAUACAUUCUACCCGAGGAAGACCCAACAAUGCAUAGUCCUUAUUGUCAAAAUCACUGACUUGACGCUGCUCUGAAAUCCCAGGAGGGGAAAAUGAAUCUGCUUCCCAGAGAGAAUCCUGCCAUCACCACGAGAACAAGCCCACUGGAG